ensembl:lncRNA
GGCAGAGCCAGUCCUUCCUUUUCCAGUCCACGCACACAGACAGUGAAUAUCACCAGGUGAUCCAGCUCUGGAGUAGCCCAUGUGUUUUGACUUGCUGCUGGAGGAUUCAAGUGUCUGCUGAGACGCAAAGGAUUUGGGUCUUCCCAGUUCCAACCAUGAGGAAAGACCAGAUAUGCUGCAGUGGAGCAUGGGAUGCACCAUCUUCUGAAUGGCUAUUCACACCCGAAGUUUGACACCUACUUCAGAGUUAGUUCUGGGUCCAGCUCCCCUCUUGGCAGAGAAUGCUUUGUACCAGGAUUGGCCUUUAUGUUAUAGUAAGCACUGCUCAUUCUUCUUAGUCAAUAGUCUUUCUAGAAGAUCUGUGCACAGAGUAGUCUAAAGCCU